rnacentral:misc_RNA from 1 species
CUCUGAGGAUUCUGAUAUGAAGCUGCAUGUGAAAAAUAAAUGUGAAAUUUACAAAAAAUAAAAUAAAAUAAAAAUUAAACUUAGGAAGAUAUCCUCUUUAGAGUUAUUGAGAUGGAUAGAAAUACAGAAAAUGGACUGACCGGAUAUCAUGUUAUCACAAUAGUAAACAAGUAGGUCAGGCAUCAUAAGUGGAUAUCAACAAUUAUUUUUUUUAAAAAAAAAAAGAGCAAAUGUAAUUUGAAGAAAGGAAGAGCAUAUUAUCUGAGUAAACAUCACACCACAAAUAUUAUGAUUCAGAAAUUCCAAGGUGUAAAUAACACAAUUAAUUUUUCAAUUUCUCAGCUCAGCUACUCAAAUUGUUAAUUUACCUACCGUUUGUCUCUUUUAUGAUUCAUUUCACUGCCAAGUGAAAGUAUAAAGAACAUUUCAAUCCUAGUUGACCAUAUGGUUCAAAUAUUUAUUCUAAUGAUGCCCGACAAACCAAAUGAAACAUUUUAAGCCCUGUCCUUAUCAUAUAACAAAUCAAAGUUUGAUGAGCAAAUAACAAGAGAAUCAAAUGACUAGGUAACUAAAAUAACCUUUGCCUCAAUAAUAUACUACAUAAAGCCACAGCAGAGAAAGAACUUUCUGACACAAUGCAGGUAGCAAAAUUAGCCAAAAAUGCCAUUCAUGCCAAAUGUCUUGGAAAGAGCAUAUAAGUUUCUAGCAGCUCAACACACCUGCACUCCCAGCCAGAAUGUAAUAAAACUGUCCAAAACUCCAACUAUACCAACAAAGAAGAAAUAUUACGCCAUGUAAAUGUUGGGGAAAAUUCUUGAAACAUUGACAAAACUCAUCGCGUAACUAUGUGGGGGUGGCAGGUCAACCAGAGCCACUGAUGACAAUUCAUCUAAACAGACUACACUCAUUUGGAAGGAGAAUAUUCACCAAAAUAAAAGGGAGGAAAUCAAACAGAAGAAUGACAAUGAGAGGUAGCAGUCCUAAGCCAAAAAUAGUUGGGGAGUUAAGAAAGAGCAAAAUGAGGAAAUAGUCAAUAUCAUAACCAUACUGCCAUGCAGUUUCAAAAAAUACUGCAUCACCACCCACACUCCUCAAGAUGUACCUUGACAUCAACUGAAAUCUAGAAACAUAAAUAACCAUAUUAUUAACUACAAUCAUUUACUUGCGAAUAAUGAGGGAAAAAUAGAAAUGAAUUUCUGAAAAACUAAAAGGGAAACAAAAGUAAAACUAAACCUUCUCUAAUGAAAAAAAAAUGACAUGUUACUGAACUGAUAGAAAAUUUAGGUAACCAGAGCAGUAACAGAAUGCAAAUUGACUGACAGCUCAACCAAUAGAAC